UUCGCAAUGCCCGAAAGGGUGACGAAGCGACGCCGCGUGGGUGAGGAAGGCCUUCGGGUUGUAAAGCCCUGUCAGGAGUUAAGAAAUGUAGACUCGCUAAUAUCGGGUCUAUUUGACAAAGGCUCCAAAGGAAGCCACGGCUAACUCUGUGCCAGCAGCCGCGGUAAUACAGAGGUGGCAAGCGUUGUUCGGAAUUAUUGGGCGUAAAGAGCACGUAGGUGGUUUUGUAAGUCAGAUGUGAAAGCCUUCUGUUCAAAGGAAGAACGGCAUCUGAAACUGCAUAUCUUGAGUGUAGGAGGGGAGAGUGGAACUUCUGGUGGAGCGGUGAAAUGCGUAGAUAUCAGAAGGAACGUCGGCGGCGAAAGCGACUCUCUGGCCUAUUACUGACACUGAGUGUGCGAAAGUUAGGGGAGCAAACGGGAUUAGAUACCCCGGUAGUCCUAACUGUAAACGAUGGGCACUAAGUAGAGGGGUUUU
rnacentral:rRNA from 2 species